rnacentral:rRNA from 1 species
CCUACGGGUGGCAGCAGUGGGGGAUAUUGCACAAUGGGGGGAACCCUGAUGCAGCGACGCCGCGUGGGUGAAGAAGCGCCUCGGCGCGUAAAGCCCUGUCAGCAGGGAAGAAAAUGACGGUACCUGAAGAAGAAGCCCCGGCUAACUACGGGCCAGCAGCCGCGGUAAUAAGUAGGGGGCAGGCGUUAUCCGGAUUUACUGGGUGUAAUGGGGGCGGAGACGGCGAUGGGAGCCAGGAGUGAAAGGCCGGGGCGCAACCCCGGGACUGCUCUUGGAACUGAGUGGCUGGAGUGCAGGAGGGGCAGGCGGAAUUCCUGGUGUAGCGGUGAAAUGCGUAGAUAUCAGGAGGAACACCGGUGGCGAAGGCGGCCUGCUGGACUGCAACUGACGUUGAGGCCCGAAAGCGUGGGGAGCAAACAGGAUUAGAUACCCUUGUAGUC